rnacentral:rRNA from 1 species
AUAGCGUAUAUUAAAGUUGUUGCAGUUAAAAAGCUCGUAGUUGAACUUGAGCACCGGCUGGGUGGUCUGCCUCACGGUAUGUACUGUCUAGCUGGGGCUUACCUUCUGGUGAGCUUGCAUGCCGUUCAUUCGGUGUGUGAGGGAACCAGGACUUUUACCUUGAGAAAAUUAGAGUGUUCAAAGCAGGCAAAUGCCCGAAUACAUUAGCAUGGCAUAAUGGAAUAGGACGUGCGGUUCUAUUUUGUUGGUUUUUAGAGUCGCCGUAAUGAUUAAUAGGGACAGUUGGGGGCAUUAGUAUUGAGUUGCUAGAGGUGAAAUUCUUGGAUUUACUCAAGACUAACUACUG